rnacentral:rRNA from 1 species
UACGUAGGGACCGAGCGUUGUCCGGAAUCAUUGGGCGUAAAGAGCGUGUAGGCGGCCUUUUAAGUCCUGCGUGAAAUCCUGCGGCUCAACCGCAGACGGUCGUGGGAAACUGGAAGGCUAGAGUGCGGGAGAGGAGAGUGGAAUUCCCGGUGUAGCGGUGAAAUGCGCAGAUAUCUGGAGGAACACCGGUGGCGAAGGCGGCAUCCUGGACCGACACUGACGCUGAGGAGCGAAAGCCAGGGGAGCAAACGGG